GACGAACGCUGGCGGCGUGCUUAACACAUGCAAGUCGAACGAAGUGGCGAACGGGUGAGUAACGCGUAAUCAACCUGCCCUUCAGAGGGGGACAACAGUUGGAAACGACUGCUAAUACCGCAUACUGAAGGAGGGGAUUGCGUGUGAUUAGCUAGUUGGAGGGGUAACGGCCAACCAAGGCGAUGAUCAGUAGCCGGUCUGGGGGGAUGGACGGCCACAUUUGGACUGGGACACGGGCCAGACUCCUACGGGGGGCAGCAGUGGGGGAUCUUCCGCAAUGGACGGAAGUCUGACGGAGCAACGCCGCGUGGGUGAUGACGGCCUUCGGGUUGUAAAGCUCUGUUAAUCAGGACGCGGUACCGGAAUAGAAAGCCACGGCUAACUACGUGCCAGCAGCCGCGGUAAUUC
rnacentral:rRNA from 1 species